CGGAGCCGGGGCGAGGGCGAGGGCGACGACGGCGGUCAUGGGGUCCGGCACCUGGCGCAAGGCCUACGGCGCCCUCAAGGACUCCACCAAGGUUGGCCUCGCCAACUUCAACAUCGAGUACAAGGAUUUGGAUAUCGCCAUCGUGAAGACGACGAACCACGUGGAGUGCCCGCCCAAGGAGCGGCACUUUAGGAGGAUAGUGUUUGCGAACUCGGCAAAUCGCCCGCGGGCCGACGUCG